CAAACUCCAAUGUAUCAUCCACUGUGCUGAGAAGGUGAUCAGCUGCAUCCUGCCAUCCCUCCAGGACCUGUAUGCCUCCAGGACCCUGAUGCAAGCAGGAAAGAUCAUAGUUUAUGUCUGGGCUCCCACCCCAGACAUAAACUAAACUUUUUUAAAACACUCUCCUCUGACAAGAGGCUGAGGUCUUAAUAGACCUCAGCUUCUUGACAAGAAGACCUCACAUGACAAGAAAAAAAAUUCCUGACUGCAGCUAGUCUCAUCAGCAAGGCAUGGGACCCCCACUGACAUAGAUUCUAUCCCACCCCUGGACACUACACAUUAUAUUAAUAUAAAAAUGUCAUAAUUUCUUCAUCUGUGAACCCAUCACAUACAACAUGGUGUGUUACAUUAACACAUUUCUUUAUAUUAUUACAUUUGCACAUGACUGUUUAUAGUGUGAACAUUUGCACAAUCCCGGUCAAUAUCUUGUGCAAUAUCUUUUAAACUCAAACAGCUCUUUUCACUCACUUAGAAUAUUUUACUUACAUUUACAUUUUGUCAUUUUGCAGAAGCUUUUAUCCAAAUAGACUUACAAGCGAGGCAAGACAAUCAAGCGUUAGAGGUUGGUUCAAACUCUCAAGUAGCUGACUAGGUACAAGUGAGAGUACUAGACAGAAGUUUUUUUUUUUUUUUUUCUAAUUAUUACCGUAAGAAACAACUGGGAGUAGACAAGUCCAUAAGGAAUACCAUAAACAAAAAGAAAGUAGUGCAACAAUCAACAUUGAGAAGUUCACAGAAGAGCUGAGUUUUCAGGCGUUUCUUGAAUGCACCAUGGGAGUCAGCAGACUGUAUGGACCUGGGUAACUCAUUCCACAUUGCAGAACCACAAACAAGAAGAGUCUGGAUCGUGACUUGGUACCAGGCAGUGAUAGAAUGACCAGACGUCAUUCAUUUGUGGCAGGAGUGGACGGGAGGGGACAUAAGGCCUAAUGUGUGACUCAAUGUAGGAGGGUGCCAUUGCAUUGGUCACCUUGAAGGCAAGCAACAAAGCUUUGGACUUGAUGCAAGCUGCCACCAGGAGCCAGUGGAGGGAGAUGAAUAACGGUGUGACAUGAGCUUGUUUAGAGCUGCAUAGUCUAGAACUGCCAACAGAGCCGUCUCAGUAGAGUGACCACUCUUGAAGCCAGACUGGUUGGGAUCAAGCAAGUUGUUCUGAAAAUGAGAGACUUGGCUUCAUACCCCACUUGGAGUGUUUCAGAAGUGGAGCAUUUUGCUCCGGCAGUGCCAGAGAGAAGAGAGCCAUCCCUCUACCUGGAGAGUGGGCAAGGGACCAGGGCAGUUAUGGCAGCAGUGGUGCCAUAAAAUCUUUUUCAUAAAAUUUUCCUCUUCCAAGAUGAACCUCUCGUCAUCCAUGGUGACAAAUAUCCUCUAACUGGUUGACUUCUGGCCUGGUGGCACUGGUUAUAACGUAAUGUUGAUGUAGUGAUGUGAUAUAUGAUCGGAAGUCUUCACAGGACUUGGUUUUAUUUUGAAAAUUGCAUAUUUUUAGCAGAGUGGAGCAGAGAGCCACUUCUAAGAUGCUCAUGAAACAUGCUGUGUCUGGUGGAAUCACAAGCAUUGACUAGAGUGGCCAGCUCUGGUGGCUGUGUUGCAGCCGGAACGUGACCAGGUGGAAUCAAGCCGUUAAGCAUAUGAAUCUCUGGACUGUAUUUUUGUUUUCUUUAUAGUGUCACCCUUUCUUCUUGUUAAUAAACCUGUUGGAUACUACAUAAAUGCCUCCAGAGUCCUGAUGAAGGAAAGGUGU